UACCCGCGUCGUCAGUACGACGUCGCCGACGAGCGUCGGCAAUCGUCGUCGACACCGCUGAAAUCCCAGUCAGGGAGGACAUUUAAAAAGACUCCCUUCGCCGCGCGGAUGCACAUCCGAGAAAUAAGACGGCUGCGAGACUCGUUAAACUCACAAAAGACGCGCACUCAAACAGCAGAAAGCGCUUCUUCAAAGUCUUAAAAAACAGGUCCAAUCGUCUAACACGUGUGUCGACUGACGAGCACGAGGUCGUGUAAGGCAGGAAACAAGAAAGAGCAGAAACGUCGAGAGAAAAAAAAGGAGAGGAUGAGAUACUGAGCAAACGUCGCAGAAAGUACGAGUGCUGUUAGGAUGCGAGAAGUACGUUCGCAAUCAGCAGAGCUGCUGUCUGUGCCGCCGGUCCGGUCGAAUUCGCAGGCGUAUCACGUUGUUAUAUAACGAGAUUAUAUCAUUAACCAGCGAGAUGCAGGCAACGAUUGUUGUCGAUAACGAUAUAAAGUUGAGCUUCAUUUUUGCUGAUUAAUAAACGUCGCAUGUGCGGAGCUCUCGAAAUGUGUAACGCUCGAUAAAUAAAAUUAUCAAUUAAAAGCUUGUCACUAUAUUGCAGAUCUCGUAAAAAAACGUAAUAAACAAUGUUACAGAAAAAAGAAGAAAUCUCGUAUAUAUAAUAGUUGUAUAUAAAAUAACAUUGACAGAAUAUAAUGGCUAUUUAAUGAGAGA